UACGUAGGGGGCAAGCGUUGUCCGGAUUUAUUGGGCGUAAAGAGCGUGUAGGCGGCCUGAAAGGUCAGCUGUGAAAACUCGAGGCUCAACCUCGAGACGCCGGUGGAAACCAUCAGACUAGAGUCCGGAAGAGGAGAGUGGAAUUCCUGGUGUAGCGGUGAAAUGCGCAGAUAUCAGGAAGAACACCCGUGGCUAAGGCGGCUCUCUAGUACGGUACUGACGCUGAGACGCGAAAGCGUGGGGAGCGAACAGG
rnacentral:rRNA from 1 species